rnacentral:rRNA from 1 species
GCUUACGGCCAUACCACCCUGUCUGCACCCAAUCUUGUCUGAUUUCAGAAGCUAAGCAGAGUCAGGCCUGGUUAGUACUUGGAUGGGAGAUUGCCUGGGAAUACCAGGUGCUGUAAGCU